GCUUCCUUGGUAGAGUGGUUAGUACACUUGACAUGGAGAUAAGAGACGUGGGUUCAAUUCCCACAGGAAAAA
rfam:Puccinia sorghi strain RO10H11247 Scaffold_2283, whole genome shotgun sequence.